UUUGCCAAACGCUUCCUUCUCGGAGAGGACGGCCACGGCGCCGCGAGCUGGGUUCGGCGGUUCCGCCAUUUUGCGCUCCUGUUGUAUUUACUCUCCGCCGCUCCCCGGAGCGGGGGCGCGGGGCGGGGUGCCUGGGUCCAGGCCGAGCUCCCAUUGGGCGCGCUGAACUGAGAGAUCCCGGAACGAACCAAUCAAAGACGCGGACAGAAGCCGCCGGGGUGGGGUCACCGAGCGGACCUUCUUUGGAGGUCAGAGGUCUUUUCGGCGCGGCUGACGGAGGGCUCGCCGAGAAGGGAGGGUCUCCGGACCGUCGCUCGGGAGCCCCGAAUCUGCCAGCACCGAGGUAGCGCUGCCGUUCGCUCAAAGACUUUGCCUUGUUUGUACCUCUCUCUCUUUUUACCUUGAGGUGGCUUGGGUCCCUUCUGCAGGUUCAGAAAAACGGUUUCUGUUGUUGCUCGUCUCGGAGAGUCCGAUCGGCAAAAGCUGAAAUGGUGAAAAGUUGCCUUAUUUUAACUAAGGUCGUAAAAGUUCGUGCUUUAAGAGAGAGUUUUCUGCAGAGCUGGAACUUGGAUCACUUCCGAUCGUGAAGAUAAUAAAUCACCCACCGUUUGGAGACUUUAAAUUGAGCUUGAGUGAUAAAGAAAGCAUUUGCUUGUGCAAAGGGGGACAAUGUCCAGGAGCAGAACUAAUGAUCUAUUAAAUAAUACACAACUAUGUUAUGUAUGCAUGGCAAAAAUUAAAUAUCCUAGCAGAAAGCGGGCGCUGCAGUGGACUGGCCUGUCUUCCUGAGGAGUAGCAUACAGUGUGGGAGACAAUAGGGCUGGCAGUCACUCACUCACCAGCCUUGAGAUUCUACUCAGGCUGCUUUGCCUGGCAAGCUCUCUGUUGUCUUAUUUGCACACUGGAGGCAGAUCUGCAGGCAAAUCUCUGAA